AUUGAACGCUGGCGGCAUGCUUUACACAUGCAAGUCGAACGGCAGCGCGGGCUUCGGCCUGGCGGCGAGUGGCGAACGGGUGAGUAAUGCAUCGGAACGUGCCCAGUAGUGGGGGAUAGCCCGGCGAAAGCCGGAUUAAUACCGCAUACGACCUGAGGGUGAAAGCGGGGGACCGAAAGGCCUCGCGCUAUUGGAGCGGCCGAUGUCGGAUUAGCUAGUUGGUGGGGUAAAGGCCUACCAAGGCGACGAUCCGUAGCUGGUCUGAGAGGACGACCAGCCACACUGGGACUGAGACACGGCCCAGACUCCUACGGGAGGCAGCAGUGGGGAAUUUGGGACAAUGGGGGCAACCCUGAUCCAGCCAUGCCGCGGGCGGGAAGAAGGCCUUCGGGUUGUAAACCGCUUUUGUUCGGGAAGAAAUCCUCUGGGCUAAUACCCCGGGGGGAGGACGGGACCGGAAGAAUAAGCACCGGCGAACUACGU
rnacentral:rRNA from 1 species